GGAAAUCCACUUGUUCCUUCAAAAUUCCGCCGGAAUGAUUGCGCAAGUUUGCUUGAAUCUCCGCCAGCCUUUAGAAUCGACAAGAAGCCAUUUCACAGUUGACGAGAAAAUAUAUCAUCAGCUUUUGGCGAUAUCUGAAUCCGGUUCGCGAUAACAGAACAGUGCCUAAUUUCUGCAGGAACAAGGAAUCAUUCACUUUAGUAGGAGGUUUUACAAAAAAAA